rnacentral:rRNA from 1 species
GACGAACGCUGGCGGCGUGCCUAACACAUGCAAGUCGAGCGAGGAGAUUCCUUCGGGAUGAUCCUAGCGGCGGACGGGUGAGUAACGCGUGGGCAACCUACCCAUAAGCGGGGGAGUAACAGCUGGAAACGGCUGCUAAUACCGCAUAACCUGUACCGGACGGAUGUCUGGUAUAGCAAAGAUGGCCUCUGAAUGAAAGCUAUCACUUAUGGAUGGGCCCGCGUCUGAUUAGCUAGUUGGUAGGGUAAAGGCCUACCAAGGCGACGAUCCAUAGCUGGUCUGAGAGGAUGAUCAGCCACACUGGGACUGAGACACGGCCCAGACUCCUACGGGAGGCAGCAGUGGGGAAUUUUGGACAAUGGGGGCGAACCCUGAUCCAGCCAUGCCGCGUGAGUGAAGAAGG